UAGUCAAUAAGGGAAGCCAAGGUCAGAUACACAAGAAAUCAAUACAAGGAACACGCUUUCGGAUAACCAACUGGAAACCACGACAGGGCACUGAGAAAUGGACAAACUAGGUUUAAAUAACUAAAGGCAUUUCAUGAUAGGCUGAAGGGAAACAUGUGAUCAAGCUUGUGUGUAACACACCCAUAUUAAAUUAAUUGAUCUGGCCCUUUAAGGGUUAAACAGGAAACCCUUUAUUAUUCACUGCUGCAGCGGGCGGCGUCC